rnacentral:snoRNA from 1 species
AGAAAACCAGGGGUUUGUUUUGUCCAUAAACCCCUAAAUUUUAGGGAAAUUAUAUCCACCAUUUUUGGGUGAACCUCUGUACCUUGAUGAUUACAGAAGGUUCAGUAAACAAUAAUCUAUUA